rnacentral:lncRNA from 1 species
UUUUUUAUGCAUCUUUCCUGAGUCUUCUGCUCAGCUUUAUUCUACAUCCUUCCUUGCUGCCUCUGUAUUGGUUCUUCAUACUCUGGCAAUGUGUGUUUGAAACCCUGGUUUCAAACUUGUCUCCUUAAUCACUUGUUGAGCAAGGCAGCAAAUAUUCUCCCUUGAAGCCAUUUGAAACAAACACUCUCCAACUUUGAAAUGUAUUAAUACUUUUCAAAAGAGAGGGCAUUAUGAGUUACACAGUAAUGUUUGUCAACCUUAUGUUCAAUAAUAUGAAAAUCUGCUUUG